UAUUAAUUAUCGCAUGAUAAUUAAUUGAAAGAUGCAAUUGCAUCACUACCAGAUGGACCUGCGUUGUAUUAGCUAGUUGGUGAGGUAACGGCUCACCAAGGCGACGAUACAUAGCCGACCUGAGAGGGUGAUCGGCCACACUGGGACUGAGACACGGCCCAGACUCCUACGGGAGGCAGCAGUAGGGAAUCUUCGGCAAUGGGGGGAACCCUGACCGAGCAACGCCGCGUGAGUGAAGAAGGUUUUCGGAUCGUAAAGCUCUGUUGUAAGAGAAGAACGGGUGUGAGAGUG
rnacentral:rRNA from 1 species